UUGCUAUGAUGAUGAUACAGUCAUGCACCACUCUGAAAUUGAUUUGAUCAAUUAUACUGUGCUGAUUAUUGACUCUACCCAUUUUUUGUCUGAGCAU